rnacentral:tRNA from 1 species
GGAGAAGUUGUGGCUCAGUGGAAGAACCUCUGGUUUGCUUGCAAAAGAUCCCAGGUUCAAUCCUUGGCAUCUCCA